AGUGUGGAUUGAAAGGGAGAGCCUGGCUGAAGGGCAACCAGCCAGCCUGUGGUACCUGUAGGUGCAUAGAUGCUUGUGGCUUCCUCAUGGGGGAAUUCCUGUACUGCCACUCAUGAAGCCCAUCACCAAUCAAAGGGCAAAGCAGUGAGAGCAGACAGAUAUUUGCUCCUGAUGUUCUACUCUGGAAGAUGCCAUCUAAAUGGAUUAGACUAGAAGCUGGUUGCCCAUCUGAAAACACCAAAGGUUCCCAGCCUUCUUCAGUGCACAGGAUGGAGACCCAAGGGACCAGAAUUAAGGCUGCAUGGACAACUGUAAACCUGGUAUUCCCUAACUUCCGAAUGUUUGUCUUUGCAACCUAAAUAAUGCUCUGUUAAUGUCACUCUUGUAUGCUAUAAAUUAUGUAAAACCUUG